rnacentral:sRNA from 1 species
GCUGGGCAUGGUGGCGCACACCUGUAAUCCCAGCUGCUCAGGAGGCUGAGGCAGGAAGAUCAUGAGUUCAGAGCCAGCCUCAGCAACAGCAAGGCACUCAGCAACUGAGUGAGGUCCUGUCUCUA